AUUGGAUCAACUAGUUUCAGCUAUUCCUGUACUCUCCGGUGAGGUUCAGGGUGAUCAACUGAAAAUUUCUCCACUGGACAAGGAUGCUGGAGAAAAGUUCCACAUUACCUGGAACAUAACAGUGCUUUGUAACAUCCAGGAGCACAGCUGAUCCAAUACAGGAUCUAGAAUGGAAUUUUGCACAGUCAUCUCACCCUGGUCCAACCAAGAGUUGUUGAAAUUUCUAUAGGAGGAAGCUUGCAGGCACUGGCAAGCUGUAUCCCAAAGAAUGGUCUCAUAGCCAUAGAAGGCAAAAUCUUUGCUCCUUCCUCUGAAGGCCGUGGAGAGAUGCAUACACCGCCUGUUUCUGCUCACAAAUGUAUGGAAGUAAAGGGAGGUUCAUAUUGAAAUGAUGUCAAUAUACUGGAUCGGUGAAGCAUGAUAAAAUAUAAU